UCUGCUGCUGCAGCUGUUGCUGCAGCUUCUGCUGCUGCUGCUGCUGCAGCUUGUGCUGCUGCAGCAGCAGCAGCAGCAGGAAGGAGGCUGUCUGUAUUUAUGCAGCAAAUUGCCUCUUUAUUCAGUAUAAAUAUAAU
rnacentral:snoRNA from 1 species